UACAGAGGUCUCAAGCGUUGUUCGGAUUCAUUGGGCGUAAAGGGUGCGUAGGUGGCGGGGUAAGUCAGGUGUGAAAUUUCGGAGCUUAACUCCGAAACUGCAUUUGAUACUGCCUUGCUUGAGGACUGGAGAGGAGACUGGAAUUCACGGUGUAGCAGUGAAAUGCGUAGAUAUCGUGAGGAAGACCAGUGGCGAAGGCGGGUCUCUGGACAGUUCCUGACACUGAGACGCGAAGGCGUGGGGAGCGAACGGG
rnacentral:rRNA from 1 species